rnacentral:lncRNA from 1 species
GGCCUUGCUCUUAUGUCAUCUGACUAAAGGUUUCAUAGACCAAAAAUAAUCAUCCAACCUGUUGGAAUACUGAAACAAUUGCUGCCUGCUUUCCACACACUACAUAAAAUAUGUGGAUAUCCUAAAUUCUACAAAAAAAGAUUUGUAAGCAAAUCAAGCAAUACUGGGACUCCCUCUUCUCCAGAAGAGACAUCCUGGCCUCCAUGCAGAGGAAUGUGUGGAUAGACAUAUAUUUAAGGAAGACACUAAACCAGAAAAUACUACAUUACACCCUCUUAAAAGACUUCUAAGAUUGUUGUCAUGCCUACCACUGACAUUCAGAUGAUGUGUAUUCUUGAUUGUGAUUUCAUGUUUGGAGCUGAUGAAGGAGUUUGAAGUCUCCAGAGCAGCAAGGAGAGUGGGGAGUAGAACUCAUCAUCUUUAGGUCACUCAUCACCG